rnacentral:rRNA from 1 species
GAUGAACGCUGGCGGCGUGCCUAAUACAUGCAAGUCGAGCGAACAGAUGAGGAGCUUGCUCCUCUGACGUUAGCGGCGGAAGGGUGAGUAACACGUGGAUAACCUACCUAUAAGACUGGGAUAACUUCGGGAAACCGGAGCUAAUACCGGAUAAUAUAUUGAACCGCAUGGUUCAAUAGUGAAAGACGGUUUUGCUGUCACUUAUAGAUGGAUCCGCGCCGCAUUAGCUAGUUGGUAAGGUAACGGCUUACCAAGGCAACGAUGCGUAGCCGACCUGAGAGGGUGAUCGGCCACACUGGAACUGAGACACGGUCCAGACUCCUACGGGAGGCAGCAGUAGGGAAUCUUCCGCAAUGGGCGAAAGCCUGACGGAGCAACGCCGCGUGAGUGAUGAAGGUCUUCGGAUCGUAAAACUCUGUUAUUAGAGAAGAACAAAUGUGUAAGUAACUAUGCACGUCGUGACGGUACCUAAUCAGAAAGCCACGGCUAACUACGUG